rnacentral:miRNA from 1 species
AGAUGGAGGGCACAAGGAGAAGGGGACGACAGAGGACGAGAUGGUUGGACAGUGUUCUUGAAGCUACCAGCAUGAGUCUGACCAAACUGCGGGAGGCACUGUCCAACGAUCUCAUCCUCUGUCAUCCCCUUCUCCUUGUGCCCUCCAUCUU